rnacentral:misc_RNA from 1 species
CCGAGUGAGGGCCUUCGGGCUCGACCUCCAACCCUUUGUGAACACAUCUUGUUGCUUCGGGGGCGACCCUGCCGUUCCGACGGCGAGCGCCCCCGGAGGCCUUCAAACACUGCAUCUUUGCGUCGGAGUUUAAGUAAAUUUAAACA